rnacentral:rRNA from 1 species
GGAUAUUCUUAUUUUUUCACAUGAAGUUUUAAGGAAAGGUCAGCCGAACUAAGAUGAGCUCGCGUUCUAUCAGCUAGUUGGUGGGGUAAAAGCCUACCAAGGCUACGACGGAUAGCUGGUCUGAGAGGACGAUCAGCCACACUGGGACUGAGACACGGCCCAGACUCCUACGGGAGGCUGCAGCAGGGAAUAUUGUGCAAUGAGCGAAAGCUUGACACAGCGACACCGCGUGUGGGAUGACGGUUCUAGGAUUGUAAACCACUUUCAGGAGGGAAGAAAAUGACGGUACCUCCACAAGA